rnacentral:rRNA from 1 species
UACGUAGGAGGCGAGCGUUGUCCGGAUUUACUGGGCGUAAAGCGCGCGCAGGCGGCACUUCAAGUAGGGUGUGAAAUCUCCCUGCUCAACGGGGAGGGUGCACUUUAGACUGAGGAGCUAGAGGACGGUAGAGGGGGGUGGAAUUGCUGGUGUAGCGGUGAAAUGCGUAGAGAUCAGCAGGAACACCCGUGGCGAAGGCGGCCCCCUGGGCCGUACCUGACGCUGAGGCGCGAAGGCUAGGGGAGCGAACGGG